rnacentral:sRNA from 1 species
AUGCGUCGGUCGGACACUCAGGUCCUGAGUGCGCCGUCCACAGCCAUCUGACCACUGCUCGCAACAUUUCUUCAGCC